GAUGAAGAACGUAGCGAAAUGCGAUACGUAAUGUGAAUUGCAGAAUUCAGUGAAUCAUCGAGUCUUUGAACGCACAUUGCGCCCCCUGGUAUUCCGGGGGGCAUGCCUGUCCGAGCGUCAUUGCUGCCCUCAAGCACGGCUUGUGUGUUGGGCCUCCGUCCUCCUCCCGGGGGACGGGCCCGAAAGGCAGCGGCGGCACCGCGUCCGGUCCUCGAGCGUAUGGGGCUUCGUCACCCGCUCUUGUAGGCCCGGCCGGCGCUUGCCGACACAUCAAUCUUUUUUCCAGGUUGACCUCGGAUCAGGUAGGGAUACCCGCUGAACUUAAGCAUAUCAAUAUGCGGAGGA
rnacentral:misc_RNA from 1 species